GACAGAGGCCUCAAGCGUUAGGCGGAAUCACUGGGCUUAAAGCGUGUGUAGGCGGAUCGUUAAGUGUCUUGUGAAAUCCCACGGCUCACCCGUGGAACUGCUGGGCAUACUGGCGAUCUUGGGCCAACUAGGGGCAACUGGAACAAGCGGUGGAGCGGUGAAAUGCGUAGAUAAUCGCUUGGAACGCCAAAGGUGAAAACAGGUUGCUGGGGUUGUGC
rnacentral:rRNA from 1 species